rnacentral:rRNA from 1 species
UACAGGGGGGGCAAGCGUCGUUCGGAAUUACUGGGCGUAAAGGGUUCGUAGGUGGCCAACUAAGUCAGAUGUGAAAUCCCUCAGCUUAACUGGGGACUGCUUCUGAUACUGGUCGGCUUGAGUGCAGGAGAGGAAUGCGGAAUUCCAGGUGUAGCGGUGAAAUGCGUAGAUAUCUGGAGGAACACCGGUGGCGAAGGCGGCAUUCUGGACUGUAACUGACACUGAGGAACGAAAGCCAGGGGAGCAAACAGG